UGUCAUUUUCAUUUUGAUUUUGAUUUUUUUCUUUUUCUUUUUUUCUUUCUUUUUUUGAUUUUUGAUUUUUUGAUUUUGUUUUUUUAUUGAUUUUUUAUUCCGAUUUUUUUUAUUUCGAUUGUGAAUUUUUUUUGAUUGAAUCUGAACUCAUAGGAUUAGGCAAGUCCUUGUUAUCCCCUUUUGAGCAGAACCAAUGUUUUUCUCAAUAAAGUCUCCCACAUAAGAUCUUCCACUUUCAUCUUGUAUGUGAAAAAUCUUCUUUGGUAUCAAAUUUCUUUCACAAAGCCUUUUGGGGAAAAAUUUAACUAUGACGAAAAACUUUG
rnacentral:lncRNA from 1 species